ACGGCUCCUUUCCUAUCCAUGCAUGGACGUCCACACACACACACACACACACACACACACGAACACGACGACGACAGGCAGGAACGCCUCGCUUUUUGUUUAGCGAUCGCUGUGCGCCACCACCUCUUGCUCUUCUUGCCCCUCGUCUUGUUACGCAUGCUCUCACGGCCUUCGUCUUGUCAAGAAUCACGCACAGCACACACACCCGCCACGCACGUUCUCUCUCUUUUCCCCACUCACCCGCGUGUGUCUGCGUGUUGCUGUCGUGCUCUCGUGUAGAGGCGCUCGCGGAGGCGGUUGACCGCUGCUUCUCCCUCUUCCUGCCGCCGUCGCCGCCCUUUCCCGCCAUACAUACACGCUUUACUGUGAGAAAGUCACCGCCACACCGUUGUCGGCCCCUCGAUCUCACAGCCGCCCGAAUCGAGAGCAUCGGUCGUAUCCCCAUCGCAGUCUUUGAGCUAGUAGUAGCUCCUUACGUACACACAAACACACAUCGCGGACGGCUCCCUCCCGUCUCCCCACUCUCGCCUGCAUGGAACACCGCCCACAUAGAGUCAUCCGAUACAACUGACACGAAGAGAGGCACGAAUGGACCCGUUGGCGGGACUCACGACGGAGUCGCGAAAUGUGAUCGACAACUUCUUCCGCUGGUCGCGCCUCUCCCUCGACAAGUUCAAGCGCGACUUGACCGUCGAGGCAAGCGCGUUUCAAGCCGGCAACUUGUGGCGGGAGCAAUACACAAAGGCGGAGGUGGUGCAGAUGCUGAAUGGACAGCUGGCGUUGAUGCUCGGUGUCGUGGACACGCAGAUGGAGGGAACGACGGCGGCCUCAGCCGAGCUCAUGCGCGCGGUGCUGCGCGAGGCUGACCGGCAGCGGUUGACUCUGGACAUUGACGUGAAAUCGGUGCUGAACAACGCCGGCGGCGUGAACGCGAUGGGGGAGCACGGCCGCCAGUUAAUGAGCGGUCCGACAGGGCGUUUGGCGCCCCUCACCGUGGAGGAGGCCUCUGGGGAGGCGGCACGGCAACUGGCAGAGGCGAACGCAGAGGUGAAGCGGCUACAGGCGAAACUGCAGCAAGUGACAGACGCCUAUACACAGGUGAUGAGGGGCCGCUCGUCGGACACGGAGAACUUGCUGUCGAUGCAGGAUGCGAUGAACGACAAGGAGCGCCUUGCCGCCGAGCUGGCGCGCCGGUGCCAGGGACAGGACCCAUCGCUCGCGGCGACCGUGCAGGAGCUGCGCGCCGAGGUGGCUGAGGCGAAGCGAGAGCUCGCUGCGCGGCUGCACCAGUCGACGCAGUAUCAGCAAGUGAAGCAUCUCCUGGCACAGCGCAACGAGCAGCUCAAGAUGAUGCGUGAGCGGUUGGCUGCUUACGAUCCGUCGUUCGCCCGUUACGGCGACGAUAUCAAUGCCGAGGACGACUGAGCGCGAGAUGGCGGUGGCUUCGUAGAGAAUGGAGUGGACGGGGUGGACGGGGUGGAAGGGUUGCGAUGAGGAAGAGGAGGUGAGGAGUCGAACAGCAGGCGACACUGCUUGCUUGCAUGUGACCCCGUGUCUGCGUGUGUGUGUUUGCUGCGCUCGGCACGGGCAGAUGGACGGUGAGCAGCCGCUUUUGUGUGCCCUUUCCCCGGUUGCGUGCUCUUCUCCUUGCCGCCUUGCAUGUGUGUGCGUGUGCAUCUCCUGUCUGUUUCCUCCCUCCCUUUCACGUCCAUCCUCUCGCACGACGACUCCUCCGUCCGCGCCGCCCGCCAUCCCUUUCACUCAAACCCGAGUGGAUGACGGUGCCUAAGUCAGCGACUGCGUUUCGCCUUGCCGCACCUCUUUCGCCUUAUCUCUCGCUCGCUCUCCCUUCCAAGGACGUGCCGCGCCCCAGACCCCCGCCCCCGCCUCUGUCCCGGUGCUUUCAUAUGUGCGUGAUGGGGGUGUAUGCGCCUCUUCCUCCCUCCCCAUGCGUGUGCACGUAUGUGUGCGUCUUCGAAGUGAAGGCACGGACAACCCCCCUCCCUGCAUAAAUACACACAUCCGCCUACAGGACCUGCGCAAACACUGGGCCACUUGCCCACGGACGGUUUUCUCCCUCCCCUUCGUCUCUCUUCAUCGUC
rnacentral:misc_RNA from 1 species